rnacentral:rRNA from 1 species
GGUGAGUAAUGUCUGGGACACUGCCUGAUGGAGGGGGAUAACUACUGGAAACGGUAGCUAAUACCGCAUAACGUCGCAAGACCAAAGAGGGGGACCUUCGGGCCUCUUGCCAUCGGAUGUGCCCAGAUGGGAUUAGCUUGUUGGUGGGGUAACGGCUCACCAAGGCGACGAUCCCUAGCUGGUCUGAGAGGAUGACCAGCCACACUGGAACUGAGACACGGUCCAGACUCCUACGGGAGGCAGCAGUGGGGAAUAUUGCACAAUGGGCGCAAGCCUGAUGCAGCCAUGCCGCGUGUAUGAAGAAGGCCUUCGGGUUGUAAAGUACUUUCAGCGGGGAGGAAGGGAGUAAAGUUAAUACCUUUACUCAUUGACGUUACCCGCAGAAGAAGCACCGGCUAACUCCGUGCCAGCAGCCGCGGUAAUACGGAGGGUGCAAGCGUUAAUCGGAAUUACUGGGCGUAAAGCGCACGCAGGCGGUUUGUUAAGUCAGAUGUGAAAUCCCCGGGCUCAACCUGGGAACUGCAUCUGAUACUGGCAAGCUUGAGUCUCGUAGAGGGGGGUAGAAUUCCACGUGUAGCGGUGAAAUGCGUAGA